UGAACGCUGGCGGCGUGCCUAACACAUGCAAGUCGAACGGGGUUACCACGCUGACGAGACUUCGGUCAAAUCUUGUGGUAACUUAGUGGCGAACGGGUGAGUAACGCGUGGGCAACCUGCCCUGUACUGGGGGAUAGCAGUUGGAAACGACUGAUAAUACCGCAUAAGCGCACGGUAUCGCAUGAUACAGUGUGAAAAACUCCGGUGGUACAGGAUGGGCCCGCGUCUGAUUAGAUAGUUGGUGGGGUAACGGCCUACCAAGUCAACGAUCAGUAGCCGGACUGAGAGGUCGGUCGGCCACGUUGGGACUGAGACACGGCCCAGACUCCUACGGGAGGCAGCAGUGGGGGAUAUUGCACAAUGGGGGAAACCCUGAUGCAGCGACGCCGCGUGAAGUGAAGAAGUAUUUCGGUAUGUAAAGCUCUAUCAGCAGGGAAGAAAGGCUCGCAAGAGAGAUGACGGUACCUGACUAAGAAGCCCCGGCUAAAUACGUGCCAGCAGCGGC
rnacentral:rRNA from 1 species